UUAUUUUGUAAAAAUAUUUUUAUAUACAUCGGAUUUGAGCUCUCGGUCUAACUAUAUUCAGAACCCUGUUAAUGGAGGUUAUAUAUUGGUUCUCUAGACUCUACCAAUAGGGGGGUUAUGCAUGGGUAUUCUGGAUCCUACCAAUAGGAGUUGUGUAUUGGUAUUUUGAUUACUAUUGUAUUCAUUAUUUCUAUUCGAGCCCCACCAUAGAGUAUAAGUAUGAUCAUAGCUAAAGGA
rnacentral:lncRNA from 1 species